AGGUUAUUGGGCUCGUUUUCCUUCUCAGGUCCACUAAGCACUCCCUCCUUAGCUUCAUCAGCCCACACCAACGUUCCUGGUCCAUCAGCAGAUGCUUGUCCCCAAGGAUCGAAGUUAGGAAAUUAGGAGCGUAGGACCGUGAAAUCUUCCCAGGAUAAACUCGAAGUUUUCCAUCAGCAAUGAGUUCAGGGACCAUAGUAACGAGCAGACAAUUUCAAAUUCCUGCGUAGAGCCAAAGAAGUUUGCUUAUAAGGCUAGAGUUUAAGAAGUCUCCAAAGCCUGCAUCCUCUGCUCCAAAGCACUCUGUUGGUUAAGCCACCAAGUGGGAAUCACUUCUGCAUUAGAAGACUCUGCUGGAUCAGCAGGAAUAUCCGGCGGCUG